rnacentral:tRNA from 1 species
GCUCCAGUGGCGCAGUCGGUCAGCGCGCGGUACUUAUAAUGCCGAGGUUGUGAGUUCGAGCCUCACCUGGAGCA